AUAACGGUCCUAAGGUAGCGAAAUUCCUUGUCAGGUAAGUUCUGACCCGCACGAAUGGUGUAACGAUUUGGGCACUGUCUCAACAACCUACCCGGCGAAAUUGUAGUACCGGUGAAGAUGCCGGUUACCCGCGACUAGACGGAAAGACCCCAUGGAGCUUCACUGUAGCUUAAUAUUGAAUUUUGGUAUUUCAUGUACAGGAUAGGUGGGAGACUGGGAAAUACAGGCGUCAGCUUGUAUGGAGUCACUGUUGGGAUACCACUCUUGAGGUGCUGAAAUUCUAACCUGCGUCUUUGAAUCAAGACGGGGGACAUUGUUAGGUGGGCAGUUUGACUGGGGCGGUCGCCUCCAAAAGAGUAACGGAGGCGCUCAAAGGUUCGCUCAGCAUGGUCGGAAACCAUGCCUUAGAGUGUAAACGCAAAAGCGAGCCUAACUGCGAGGCUGACGGGCCGAGCAGUAACGAAAGUUGGAGUUAGUGAUCCGGCGGUAUGUGAAUGGAAAUGCCGUCGCUCAACGGAUAAAAGCUACCCUGGGGAUAACAGGCUGAUCUCCCCCAAGAGUCCACAUCGACGGGGAGGUUUGGCACCUCGAUGUCGGCUCAUCGCAUCCUGGGGCUGUAUUCGGUCCCAAGGGUUUGGCUGUUCGCCAAUUAAAGCGGUACGCGAGCUGGGUUCAGAACGUCGUGAGACAGUUCGGUCCCUAUCUGUCGUGGGCGUAGGAUAUUUGAAGAGCGCUGUCCCUAGUACGAGAGGACCGGGAUGGACGCACCGCUGGCGCAUCGGUUGUCAUGCCAAUGGCACGGCCGAGCAACUAUGUGCGGUUUGGAUAAACGCUGAAAGCAUCUAAGCGUGAAGCCAUCUCUAAGAUAAGAUAUCCCAUAGCAUAAGCUAGUAAGACCCCUCAAAGACUAUGAGGUUGAUAGGCUGCGUGUGUAAGUACGGCGACGUAUUUAGCUUGGCAGUACUAAUAGGUCGAGGGCUUGACCUU
rnacentral:rRNA from 1 species